UCUUGCAUGCCUGUCGUCAGCUCGUGUUGUGAAAUGUUGGGUUAAGUCCCGCAACGAGCGCACCCUUAUCUUUUGUUGCCACCGGUUAGCCCGGAACUCAAAGAAGACUGCCAGUGAUAAACUGGAGAAGGUGGGGAUGACGUCAAGUCAUCAUGGCCCUUACGAGUAGGGCUACACACGUGCUACAAUGGCGCAUACAAAGAGAAGCGACCUCGCGAGAGCAAGCGGACCUCAUAAAGUGCGUCGUAGUUCGGAUUGGAGUCUGCAACUCGACUCCAUGAAGUCGGAAUCGCUAGUAAUCGUGGAUCAGAAUGCCACGGUGAAUACGUUCCCGGGCCUUGUACACACCGCCCGUCACACCAUGGGAGUGGGUUGCAAAAGAAGUAGGUAGCUUAACCUUCGGGAGGGCGCUUACCACUUUGUGAUUCAUGACUGGGGUGAAGUCGUAACAAGGUAACCGUAGGGGAACCUGCGGCUGGAACACCUCCUUCUAGACUGCA
rnacentral:rRNA from 1 species